GUGGGGAAUAUUGGACAAUGGGCGAAAGCCUGAUCCAGCCAUGCCGCGUGUGUGAAGAAGGUCUUCGGAUUGUAAAGCACUUUAAGUUGGGAGGAAGGGCAGUAAGUUAAUACCUUGCUGUUUUGACGUUACCAACAGAAUAAGCACCGGCUAACUUCGUGCCAGCAGCCGCGGUAAUACGAAGGGUGCAAGCGUUAAUCGGAAUUACUGGGCGUAAAGCGCGCGUAGGUGGUUUUGUAAGUUGGAGGUGAAAUCCCCGGGCUCAACCUGGGAACUGCCUCCAAAACUGAAUGACUAGAGUACGGUAGAGGGUAGUGGAAUUUCCUGUGUAGCGGUGAAAUGCGUAGAUAUAGGAAGGAACACCAGUGGCGAAGGCGACUACCUGGACUGAUACUGACACUGAGGUGCGAAAGCGUGGGGAGCAAACAGGAUUAGAUACCCGUGUAGUCC
rnacentral:rRNA from 1 species